rnacentral:tRNA from 1 species
GCCCGCCUAGCUCAAUCGGAUAGAGCGUCAGACUCUUAUGAGUGCGGGUACACGUCACGUGUUCACGUGAUCUGAAGGCUGCGAGUUCGACCCUCGCGGUGGGCU